UCUUCUAAUACAGAGUUAUCUUUUAUUUCAGUAAAGGUUGAUGAAACAGUCAUAGCCCUUCUUUGAAGUGUCCCAUUUGUCAUCUUAUUAUCAUAUUAUUUUAAAGCAAAAUCCUAACUCUUCCAUGGCCACAUCACCAAAUUCUCAAGGAUUGCUAUCCAAUGCGACUGUAUUUCCCCGGCUAGUCGACAGGGGCAGAUUUAUAGGUUAGUUUAUGGAAUACGUGAAUUCAUAGUCUCUUUGCUAUAAUAAAUCAGAUAUUUUAUUUUGAACUGUUCAUGAAGCCCAUGCUUCACUAACACUAAAUUGUGCUCUUGGUUAAAUACUAAGUUAUUUACCGAAAGGAACAAGGAUCAAUUCUUACAAAAUACUUUUUUCUAUCUAAUCUUUGGUGGUGAAUUCAUAUUUUAAAAAUUCUAAAUUCCUCUCUGGAGUUGCAGUCGCAUCAACUGUUAUACAUAUGUUUUGACUGUACAUUCAUGGAUUAUAUUGAUUUUGCAUUAUAGACCAAGCUGUUACUAUGAUAUUUUGUAUGAUCUCUUGUAUUUAAGUUUACUUAUCAAUUAUUCAACCUAUUACCCUAAUUUUAGAACUCCUUAUUCCUAUUGAGUUAAGUUGGUAAAAGAAAUAAUAUUAUAAAAGCAGUUUGUGCUAGCAUAAUUCUUCUAAUAUUUUUAUUCUGAUUGCUUUUUCCAAAUUAUUUAAUUCCAUACCAUAUGGAAUGUCUUAAUUAUUCCAUACCACGUGCUGAAAAACUAGUACUAUGAAAGUGUGGGAAAAAAUGGUUGAAGCGAGGGCGAGGAUGACAGUGUCUGUAUCCGAUAACAAGUACGGAUUCAUGUCGGGUCGUGCUACUACAGAAUAUAUACACCUUGUUAGGAGGUUGGCGAAACUAUACAGAGAGAGGAAGAAGGAUUUGCACAUGGUGUUUAUUGACUUAGAAAAAGCGUAUGACAAGGUUCCUAGAGAAGUUCUCUGGAGAUGCUUGAAGAUAAAAGGUGUACUGGUUUUCUGGCGAUUAAGGACAUGUAUGAUGGGACUAAGACUCGGAUUAGGACAGUAGGAGGCUGAGCAUUUUCCAGUUGUAAUGGGGUUAUACCAAGAUUCUGCGCUAAGUUCGUUCUUAUUCGCCCUAGUGAUGGACCCGUUGACACACCAUAUUCAAGGGGAGGUAUCGUGGUGCAUGCUAUUUUCCGAUCAUAUAGUUCUGAUUGAUGAGUCGUGAUCUGGUGUUAACGAAAUGCUGGAGGUUUGGAGACAGGCUCUUGAGUCUAAGGUUUCAAUUGAGCAGGACGGAUACGGAAUACCUGGAGUGUAAGUUCAGUGCUGAGCCGGGGGAAGCGGGCAUAGAUGUGAGGCUUGAAUCACAGGCCAUCCCAAGUAGAUGUAGCUUAAAGUACCUUGGCUCGGCCAUAUAGGGAGGAAGGGAGAUCGACGAAGAUGCCACACACCGCAUUAGGGUUGGAUGGAUUUAGUGGAGGUUAGCAUCUGGAGUCUUGUGUGACAAGAGAGUGCCAUCGACACUCAAAGACAAGUUUUAUAAAGUGGCGGUUAGACUGGCCAUGAUGUAUAGGGCUGAGUGUUGGCCUGUUAAGAACUUACAUAUCCAGAAGACGAGAGUAGCAGAAAUGAGGAUGUUGCGGUGGAUGUGCGGGCACACUAGGACGGAUAAGAUAAGGAAUGAUGAUAUUCGAGAGAAGGUGUGUGUCGCUCCCAUUAAUGAAAAUAUGCGGGAAGCGAGGCUCAGAUGGUUCGGGCGUAUUCAGAGGAGAAGCUCAGAUGCUCCGGUACAGAGGUGUGAGCAUCUGGUUGUGAAGGGCAACAGAAGAGGUAGAGGGUGGCCUAAGAAGUAUGGGGAGAGGUAAUCAGGCAGUAUAUGGCGAGGCUUCUAAUUUUCGAGGACAUGACACAUGAUAGAAAGAUGUGGAGAUCGAGUAUUAGGGUUGUAGGUUAGGAUGUAAUUAAGUACUGUCGUUCUUCGUACCAUUGUGGGACUAGUAUGGUAGGGUUUUUUGCCUAAGAUAGCUAGUGACAAUGUUGUCUCUUACUAUUUUUGCUUUCGAGUGCAUGACCUAUUUACUAGCCAUCGCUUUCGCUUUUGCUUUGCAUGUUUCUUUUGGAUUUUUUGUUGCUCCUACUUUUCCUGUGAUUUCUGUGGUUAUACUAAUAUUGUCCGAUUUUAUCCUUUGUCUUGAGCUAAGGGUCUUUCGCAAAUGGCCUCCCUAUUCCUCCGGCAUAGGGGUAAAGUCUGCAUACACACUACCCUCUCCAGGCCUCAUUAGUGGGAUUUUACUAGGUGGUUGUUGUUGUUGAUGUUUUUGUAUCUCUACAAAUAGAUUUAUAUAUUAAAAUUAUAUAAUUACAUUGAAUAAGGGAGCAUUGUCAACGAUAGCAAACUGUACUAGGGAGACUGCGAGAGAGGUGUUACGGGUCUCGACAGGCGUCUCUGGUAGGCACAAGGGCGACUGGUGGUAGAAUGAAGUGGUCCAAGGUAAUGCGGAAGUAAAGAAGGCAUCAUACCUGAAGUUACUGGGAGAAUAUGUGAGGAGGAGAGGCAAGCGUGCAUGGAUAGGUAUAAGGUAGCGAGGACGGAAGCUAAGCUGGCAGUCACGGAGGCUAAAACGAUGGCUUAUGGUCGUAUAUGUGAGGAACUUGGGGAAAAGAGCCGGGAGAACAAGUUAUUCCGGUUGGCCAAGUUGAGAGAGAGAAAAGCUCGGGAUUUGGACCAAGUGAGAUGCACCAAGGACGAAGAUGGUAGAGUUUUGACGGAAGAUGCCCAGAUUAAGAGGAGAUGGCAGACUUACUUUCAUAAACUUCUGAAUGAAGAAGAGCAUCGGAAUAUUGUACUAGGUGAAUUGGAUAAUUCUGAGAGUCACCGUACUUUGGGUACUACAGGAAUAUCGAGGUUGAGGAGGUCGUGGGAGUUAUGCGUAAGAUAAGUAGGGGUAGAGCGACCAGUCCAGACGAGAUUGCGGUGGAAUUUUGGUAAGUGUGUGGGGAGAGCAGGUUUCAAAUGGUUGACUAGGUUGUAUAAUGUUAUUUUUAAGGUGUAAAGGAUGCCGGAUGAGUGGAGGUAGAUUAUGGUAGUCCCAUUGUAUAAGAACAAAGGUGAUAUCCAAAUUUGUAACAAUUAUAGGGGUAUCAAAUUACUGAGUCAUACUAUGAAAGUGUGGGCGAGGGUUAGGAUGACAAUGUCUGCAUCCAAUAACCAGUUCGGGUUCAUGUUGGGUUGUUCUGCUACAGAAGCUAUACCCCUUGUUAUGAAGUUGGUGGAACUGUACAGAGAGAGGAAAAGUAUUUGCACAUGGUAUUUAUUGACUUAGAAAAAGCGCAUGAUAAGGUUCCUAGAGAAGUUCUCUAGAGAUGCUUGGAGACAAAAGGCGUGCCAGUUUCUUACAUUAUGGAGAUUAAGGACAUGUAUGAUGGGGCUAAGACUCGGGUUGGGACAGUAGGAGGCGACUCUUGAGCAUUUUCCAGUUGUAAUGGGGUUACACCAAGGUUUUUCCCUAAGUUCACUCUUAUUCGCCCUAUAAUGGACGCGUUGACACGCCAUAUUUAAUGGGAGGUGCCAUGGUGCAUGCUAUUCGCCGAUGAUAGAGUUCUGAUUGAUGAGUCGCGAUCCGGUUUUAAUGAGAGGAUGGAGGUUUGGAGACAAGAUCUUGAUUCUAAGGGUUUCAAGCUGAGUAGGACGAAGACAGAAUACCUAGAGUGUAAUUUCAGCAUUGAGACGGGGGUAGUGGGCAUGGAUGUGAGGCUUGACUCACAGGUCAUCCUAAAGAGAGACCGCUUCAAGUACCUUGGCUCGGUCAUCCAGGGAGAAGGGGAGAUUGACAAGGACGUCACACAUCGUAUUGGGGGUAGGAUGGAUGAAGUGGAGGUUAGCAUCUGGAGUCUUCUGUGACAAGAGAAUCCACCAACACUCAAAGAAAAUUUCUAUAAAGCGGUGGUUAGACCGGACAUGAUGUAUGGGGCUGAGUGUUGUCCUUUUAAGAGCUCACAUAUCCAGAAGAUGAGAGUAGCAGAAAUGCGGAUGUUGAGGUGGAUGUGGGGGGAAACUAGGAUAAGAUUAGGAAUGAUGAUAUACGGUAAAUGGUGCACGUCGCUCCCAUUGAUGACAAGAUGCAGGAAACAAGGCUCAGGUGGUUCGUGCAUGUUCAGAGGAGAAGCUCAGAUGCUCCGAUACGGAGGUGUGAGUGUCUGGCUGUGGAGGGCAAGAGGAGAGGUAGAGGGCGUCCUAAGAAGUAUUGAGGAGAGGGGAUCAGGCAGGAUAUGGCGAGACUUCAUAUUUUCGAAGACAUGACACGUGAUAGGAAGACGUGGAGGCCGAGUAUUAUAGUUGUAGGUUAGGAUAUAAUUGAGCAUUACCUACAAAAGCGAAAAUUGUAGGUUAGGAUACCAUUAUGGGACUAGUAUGGUAGGGGGUUUUUUGUCUAACAUAGCUAGUGACAAUAUUCUCUCUUACUAUUUUCGCUUUCGAGUGUAUGACCUAUUUACUAGCCAUCGCUUUUGCUUUUGCUUUGCAUAUUUCUUAUAGAUUUUAUGUUAUUCCUACUUUUCCUAUGAUUUCUCUGGUUAUACUAAUAUUAUCUCCUUUUUUCCUUUGCCUUGAGUUGAGGGUCUUUCGAAAACAGUUUCAAGAGUAGGGGUAAGGUUUGGGUACACACUACCCUCACCAUACCCUAUUAAUGGGAUUUUAUUAGAAUAUUGUUGUUUACCUUGCUCGAUAUUGAAUUUGGCUUGUUUGAGGUAAGUAACAUAUCUGAACCUGGAUUUAAGGGUAUUUUAUCCUGGGAACUAUGUUAUAAGAGAGGUAUUGAGGCAAUGCACAUUCUAGGUGACGAGUAUGUGGGCGUGAACAGAGGUAUUCAUGAUUUUAGUUGAUUAUUAGACUGUGACCGGACUUGCUUUGUUGUUAUAUAUUGUUACAUCCAUGUUCUCCCUACUCAUUUGAUUAUAUAAGCUGUGAAUCAUGUUAGAAAUUAUGUUUAGUCUAUGUAGUUAUUCGGUUGAGACCUAAUGAGGCUAUUUUUGUUGUUUUGAGUUAUCUAUUCUAACUUUAAUUAUAUACAUAGUCAUGAUUAUUUAUUUGUAUAUCAUAUCUUAGACUCUAUUUAUCAUUCAUUGUUAUAUCACGUUAUCAUUGUUUGGGUUGAGUGACAUGAGAUAUGUGAGCCCGUGAGACUGGAAAUAUUGAUGACUGAGUUGAGGUCUAAGAAGCGUGUUGUGAGUGAUAUUGUGGAUCGAGUUGCACGCCCAAGUAGGCCUUAUUGACUUUAUACAUAUUAUCGUUAUGGAUCGGGUUGUAUGCCACAGCAGAACUUAUAGGCUUUAUCUAUUAUUAUGGAAUUGGGUUGCAUGCCGCAGCAAUCCAUUUUGGUUUUAUAUUAGCGCUUGGGCAGGAUCUGCCCUUUCGGAGACUGAUAUACCAGCAGUGAGCGCAGGUACCGUAGAAUGUUAAGUGAUUGAGUGUGCUGAGCGAUUGAGAGCGAUGAGUGAGAGUGUGAUACAAUGAUAUUAAGUACUCUGAGAGUGUGAGUACAUGAGUUUAUCAAUGUAAUGCAUUACAUUUGACAUGCAUACUUGGCAUGUAGGCAUAGAGAUGCAUUUUCUCAUGUUAUACAGUAUUGUGACAUUCAUGACGUCUCAUGUUAUUUGAUAAUGAAACAGCUUAUAUGUUGUUGACAAUUUUCUGAUAUACUCAUAUUUUGGUGAUUUUGGUGAAAUAUUUGAGUUUGUACUGUUAUAUAUGAACGACAUGUUUAUUUUUCGUAACUGCGAACAAGCUGAGCAUCAUAUCUUUGAGUUAUUACUUGUACCGUUUUUAUUAUAUUGUUACGAGUUAUUCUUGGUUAUUGGUGUUUGACUAUGACCGUUCUUCAAGCUCGUCAUUGCUUUCAACCUAAGGUUAUGUUUGUUACUUAUUGAGUACAUGGUGCCGGUUGUACUCAUACUACACUUCUGCACCUUGCAUGCAGAUUUUGGAGCUGAUGUUGCUGCGUAUGGAGGGAGCUGGCAUUGGAGAUGUACCUGCGUUCCGGUUAAAGUUGCCUCUUGUUCUUGGUGGCUAUAAAUUUGUAAAUUUUGUUUAUGUAUAUUUCAAACAUAUGAUAUAUUUAUUUCAUACCAGCUUUGUAAACUCUAAAG
rnacentral:lncRNA from 1 species